UGGGGAGUUGUGUAGUGGCAGCACACCAGCCUUUGGAGCUGGGCGCCCAGGUUCGAAUCCUGGCUCCCCAGCCA
rnacentral:tRNA from 1 species